rnacentral:tRNA from 1 species
AGCGGCUUAGUUUAAAAUAGAAUAUCUGUUUGUCAAGCAGGAGAUCCGGGCUAUUCGGAGUCGUUA